ensembl:snRNA U6 U6 spliceosomal RNA
UCACUUUAGCAGUGCAUAUACUAAAACUAGAACAAUACAGAGAAGAUUCACAUGGUCCCUGUGUGAGGAUGAUAUGCAAAUUUGUGAAGCAUUUCAUAGUCUU